UAAAUAAUUUUACUCCUUCAAGUGUGUUGAAAUAGAAGUCAUGUUUACACUGUUACUAUACCACAAGCAGCUGCUGUACACUAGCUUAGCUUAGUCACCUACAUAUAGCUUGUAAUAGUCAUAGUUGGUUAGGAGUUGUACACGUUCUAUUUACUUUCUUGUCUGUACUAGUUCCUAUAAAUUCCUCGUCCUAUUCUCAUGUAACCACAAUAUAGCAAUAUACAAAUUCUGUACUACUUUGCACUACUGCCUCCGCUCUCAACUUAUUCAUUCUUUCUGUUAUACACAUAUAUACACACACAUCAGUAUAUAUAUACACAUAACACAUAAGUUUCUACAUGGUAUCAGAGCUUUAAGCUCCUUACCUCCGCGUUUUAUUCUGCUGUAAUCAUCGUUCCCGGUGACAAACUCUCUCGGCCAUUAAACCAAACAGUUGGCGCAACCCAGUUUCUGACGAGUCAACACAGCAAAAUCUUUAACCCGUUUCAACUCAUCAAACCCAGAACAACACCCACACAGCGAGUUCUUCCCACAAGUUCAACUAAUCACAAGGCAUUCAAUCCGGCGAACAACCAUUAACUCCGGCGAACCACCAUAAAACCCGACGAAUUACCACACUCGUCUCCACCAUAAUUUCCGACGAAUCACCACACUUGUCUCUUUGGAAAGAAGAAAGAAUCAACAUCUCUAAACAUCAAAGAGUACACGGCCGCUAGUCUGUUGGGUAACCUCGAAAACACACAGUAAUAUAUGUUUUACAUAUAUUUGGUAUUUUCUCCCACGUACAUCUAUCUGUUAAUGUUCACAAUUUUGGCCAACUUGCAUUUAAGUACCCUCAAGUUUCCAUAUUUUAUAUUUUUCACAUUCAUCUUAUGAAACGUACACACCAGUCCCUGAUUAUCUAUUUUUUGCUAGAGAGUACUUCAACCUUUUAAAAAGUUGCAUUUUUUAACCCCUGUAUUUUUACACAAGUGCUUGUAAAAAUGGAAAAAGAAAAUAGUUCUCCGAUUCAGACAAUUUUGAAUGGCUCGAACUAUAUAACUUGGUCUCAAGCUAUGCGCAGUUACUUGAAAGGAAAAAGACUUUGGCGAUAUGUCAACGGAGAUUUUACAAUUCCUAUCAGGGAGAAAGAUGAAACAGAUUCCAAAUUGAAGGAUCGCAUUGAAGAAUGGGAUGUCAAAAAUCACCAAGCAAUCACAUUUUUUAGAAACUCUUCAGUUUCUAAAAUUAAUUUACAGUUUGGAAAUUAUGACACUGCAAAAGAAAUUUGGGAUUUACUAGCAUCAAGAUACACUACAUCCGAUCUUUCUCACCAGUAUCAGAUCACGAGUUCACUAAGCAAGCAAAAGCAAGAGCCUGGUCAACCAGUUGCAGAUUUUCUCUCGCAGAUACAAUCACUUUGGGAUCAAUUAACAUUAUCUGAACCAAAGUGGUUACAUACAGAAGAUGCUACACUUUAUCACACAUAUCGUGACCAGCACCGACUCAUCCAGUUUCUUAUGGCUCUCACUCAAGAUUUCGAACCAGUUAGAGCUGCUCUUCUUCAUCGAGUUCCACUACCCUCUUUAGAAAGUUCUGUUGCUGAACUUAUUUCUGAGGAAACUCGACUUGGCCUUGGAAAAUUCAAAUCUGUGAUGGAUAAUGUUCUUGCUGUACCUCCGGCUCCUACUUCUGACAAACCAUUUUGCAGGUUCUGUCGUCAAAGUGGACAUGUCACAAAAGAUUGCAUGACACUUCGUAAUCACACAUGUCAACAUUGUCAUCAAAAGGGUCAUUACUCGAUACAGUUUUGUAAGAAAAAGCCAUCAUUCCAUUCAAACAAGUUUACUCAGUCUUCCGCUGCCGCAACUUCUGAAUCUCCAACCACAUCUACUAGUGAGCUAGAAUCCUUGCUCAAACAGGUUUUACUUAAAGCCAACUCUCCCUCCACUGCAUUCUCUGUCACUUCAGGUAAUUCUUGGUAUUUUGAUUCUGCAUGUUGUAAUCAUAUGACAAAUGAUUCAUCCAUAUUUACCAUGAAAACACAGAGUUCAUACCUUCCAAAUAUUCAAACUGCUGAUGGUUCUACCAUGAAAGUGACACAUAUUGGAACUGUAUCUACAGAAGAUCUUAAUCUUCCUGACACAUACUUCGUUCCUAAUCUUUCACUUAAUCUUGUUUCCAUCGGUCAACUAUGUGAUCUUGGUCUUGAUAUUAUCUUUACCUCUUCUGGUUGUCAUGUACAGGAUCCUCAGACAGGACAGAUCUUUGGGACAGGACGUAGAUGCGGAAGGUUGUUUGAGCUCACUUCCCUUCAUCUUCCUACACCAAAAGCAUCAUCCAAUCAUCCAGUUGGUUCUUUUUCCACUACAACCAACAUCUGGCAUUCCCGGUUAGGUCAUCCAUCACAAUCUCGUUUACAUAGUCUUAUUUCUAGUGGUCAUCUAGGUAGUGUUAAUGCAGACACAAUUGACUGUGUUUCAUGUAGACUGGCAAAACAUCAUGUACUUCCUUUUCCUAUUCAUUAUGAAAAAUCAUCAGCUACUUUUGAUCUAAUACAUUCUGAUAUUUGGGGUCCUUCUCCAACUCCAACUAUGGGAGGGUCAAGAUACUAUGUGAUAUUCGUUGAUGAUUUUUCUCGUUACACUUGGAUAUAUAUUUUGAAAAAUCGAUCAGAAUUAGGAGAAACUUAUAAAAAUUUUGCCACUAUGAUUAACACUCAGUUCAAAAAGAAAAUCAAGCUUUUCCGUGCCGAUAAUGCCAAAGAAUAUAAAGAAUCAGAUCUUAACAAAUUUUUGGCAUCAUAUGGCACUCUUGUCCAAAGUUCUUGUCCUUACACAUCACAACAAAAUGGUCGUGCUGAACGUAAACAUAGGCACAUUCUUGAUACAGUUCGAGCUCUUCUCAUUUCCUCUUCUUGUCCAGAAUUAUUUUGGGGGGAAGCUGCAUUAACUGCUGUUUACACAAUCAAUAUGAUUCCUUCUCCUGUUACAAAUAACUUAUCUCCUUAUGAAAAAUUAUAUAAAGAACCUCCGUCAUAUGAUUCUCUUAAGGUUUUUGGUUCUGCAUGUUUUGUUCUUCUUCCCCCACAUGAAAGAACUAAACUAGAGCCACGUGCUCGUCUUUGUUGUUUUAUUGGUUAUGGUAGUGGUCAAAAAGGAUAUCGUUGUUGGGAUCCUAUCUCACAACGACUACGAGUUUCUCGUAAUGUGACAUUUUGGGAACACAAAAUGUUCUCAUCUAUGUCAGAUUUUAAAAUUGACACUUCUACCAGUAUUUCCCACUUUACCGAUCCUUUUGUUGAUCUACACCCUCCUGAUGAAAAUAUAGAAAAUCCAUCAUCUUCUUCUAACAUAUUUUCAGCAGAUUCUCCACUUGAGCUCACUCAACCAUCUUCAACUACUAAUGUUCCUCCAACAGAAGUUCAGUCUGAGGAUUCCAUCUUCAACUACUAAUGUUCCUCCAACAGAAGUUCAGUCUGAGGAUUUUAAUGUUGAGCCUGCCACUCUGUCAGAUGAGUUUGUUCAUCGCUCUACUCGAGUAAGAAAACCUUCUGUCCGACUUACUGAUUAUCAUGUUUAUUCUGCUAUACAAACUUUACAUGAGCCUCAAACAUAUAGAGAGGCAAGUGUGAAUCCUCUUUGGCAGAAAGCAAUGGCAGAAGAACUUCAGGCAUUAGACAGAACUCACACUUGGGAUCUUGUUACUUUGCCCCCUGGCAAAGCUGCAGUCAGUUGUCGAUGGAUCUACAAAAUUAAGACAAAAUCUGAUGGAUCUAUAGACAGAUAUAAAGCUCGUCUAGUUGCAAGAGGUUUCACUCAAGAAUAUGGGAUUGACUACGAAGAAACAUUUGCCCCAGUUGCUCGUCUCACAUCUGUUCGAAGUUUACUUGCUGUUGGAGCUUCAAAACAUUGGGACAUGUGGCAAAUGGAUGUCAAAAAUGCUUUUCUAAAUGGAGACCUACAUGAGGAAGUUUACCUUAAACCUCCUCCUGGUUAUUCUCAUUCUCAAAAUCAAGUGUUCAAGCUUAACAAGGCUCUUUAUGGUCUUAAACAAGCCCCUCGAGCAUGGUUUGAAAAGUUCCGUACAGUCAUUGGUCAACUUGGAUUUUCUUCUAGUCCAUAUGAUUAUGCUCUUUUCAUUCGACGAUCUGAUCGAGGCAUUGUUCUACUUUUGCUCUAUGUUGAUGAUAUGAUCAUCACUGGCGAUGAUACAACAGGUAUUUCUGAGCUAAAAGAAUUUCUCAGUCAGCAAUUUGAAAUGAAAGAUCUUGGUACAUUAAGCUACUUCUUAGGACUUGAGGUCUCUUCCGUCCCUACGGGUUACACUCUUUCUCAAGUCAAGUAUGCAUCUGAUCUUUUAUUGAAGUCUGGGAUCAGUGACACUAAGAUUGCCUCUACACCUUUGGAAUACGAGGUUAAACUCAAUCCCGAAGAUGGUGAAUUACUUACCGAUCCUACUUUAUAUCGUCAAUUGGUUGGAAGCUUAAUUUAUCUCACUGUCACUCGUCCGGAUAUUGCUCAUGCUGUUCAUAUUGUCAGUCAAUAUAUGUCAGCUCCUCGCACUCCUCACUAUACAGCUGUUCUGCACAUACUUCGUUAUGUCAAAGGCACGAUAUUUCAUGGACUUCAUUAUUCAUACAACUCUUCACUUGAGUUACAUGCAUAUUCAGAUGCUGAUUGGGGUGGUGAUCCAUCUACCAGAUGUUCUACUACAGGAUUUUGUUUCUUCCUUGGUGAUUCACUUAUCUCUUGGCGUAGUAAGAAACAGUCACUUGCUUCUAAAUCAACUGCUGAGUCAGAAUAUCGAGCUCUUGCAGACACCACACAAGAGCUAAUUUGGCUACGAUGGUUACUUGAAGAUAUGAGUGUCGUUCAUCCUCCUGCUACUCCAAUUUAUUGUGACAGUAAGAGUGCUAUUGACAUUGCCCACAAUGAUGUAUUUCACGAACGCACUAAACAUAUAGAGAUUGAUUGUCAUUUCACUCGUCAACAAGUUGCAAAAGGCACAGUUCGUUUACAUGGUAUUUCUAGUGCUGAUAAUACUGCAGAUCUCUUUACAAAACUUCAUCCUCCCGGAAGUUUUCGUGAUUUUGUUUCCAAACUAAAGUUGGUUCUUCAACCAUCUUCAGUUUGAGGGGGGGUGUUGAAAUAGAAGUCAUGUUUACACUGUUACUAUACCACAAGCAGCUGCUGUACACUAGCUUAGCUUAGUCACCUACAUAUAGCUUGUAAUAGUCAUAGUUGGUUAGGAGUUGUACACGUUCUAUUUACUUUCUUGUCUGUACUAGUUCCUAUAAAUUCCUCGUCCUAUUCUCAUGUAACCACAAUAUAGCAAUAUACAAAUUCUGUACUACUUUGCACUACUGCCUCCGCUCUCAACUUAUUCAUUCUUUCUGUUAUACACAUAUAUACACACACAUCAGUAUAUAUAUACACAUAACACAUAAGUUUCUAC
rnacentral:lncRNA from 1 species